AAUUCCAUCCAUAAGUAACACAAUGACAGAAUGCAUGACUAUUUUGGUCAUGAGUUUCACACACUUUCUGUAAUAAAAAAUCUUAAAGCAAAAAUCUGGUCAGAUGUUGGUCCGUGGUCUAAUAGUUUGGGAACCGCUGAUCAAGAGCAUUUCGGCUGGCCGUUAUAAAAAGGACUUAAGGUUGGUCAAUACAGCCUGAAGAGGGUGUUGUUGGGCGUAUACACAGGUUUAAAAAGUACAUGCCAAUAUUCCACAGGAUAUAAUGAGUUUUUGGCCUCUUUACCACUAAAGUAUUAUACCAACUUCCCAAUUACAUACCUACCUAGACAGAUGUUA